rnacentral:rRNA from 1 species
UACGUAGGGGGCAAGCGUUGUCCGGAAUCAUUGGGCGUAAAGAGCGUGUAGGCGGCCCGGUAAGUCCGCCGUGAAAGUCCAGGGCUCAACCCUGGAAUGCCGGUGGAAACUGCCGGGCUGGAGUCCGGAAGAGGCGAGUGGAAUUCCUGGUGUAGCGGUGAAAUGCGCAGAUAUCGGGAGGAACACCAAUGGCGAAGGCAGCUCGCUGGGACGUUACUGACGCUGAGACGCGAAAGCGUGGGGAGCAAACAGG